UAUAUACGAUGUUCAGUUUCAUUUCAAUACGAUUUCGCAGCCGCUGUCAAUCUAGAUCACAAUCGUUUCUUACAUAUAUGAAAAUCAUGCAUUGUUUUCAUUAAGUUAUCGACUCAUAAUAAUCACCAAGAGUUUUAUGUGUCGAUUUUUUCUUUUCCUUCAUCAUGCACAUAGAUCUAAAAAUUAGUAAAGAUCCGCCAUAUAUACUUUGGUGUUUCGAAGAUUAUGCUGUUCGACUAUCACUCACACUAUACUUUGAUGUGUAUUCUGUUGUCAGCCUAGUAGAAUCAGAUUACUAUGAGUUAGGUGUUCAUAACAUUUCAAGAGUUGGUUUUGUAGGUUUGUCCGAGGCUCCUAGCUUGAAAAGGUAAAUUUAUAUAACGUUUUCUUAUGUAAAUGUUUCGAUUCCAAUCAAUUUUUCUGCUCAACUUUCCAAUUUAUGCUGUAUCUACUAACGUUAAUUUCAUUAGUAUAAAGCUGACAUCUACUUCAAUUCUUAUUGAAUUCUGCGUGGAGAUUAUGAGAUCGUGUUGCAGAUCUGAUCUGUAGUUCUUUACAUGCUUAAUUAUUCCUUAAAUAUCACUAAAGAUACUGAUAUGUGUGGAUCGAGUAUUAGAUCUCUUUAAAGCAAAAAGAUCUGACAGAGACUUUAGUUUUAGUAAUUUUAAUUUUUGAAUCCGAAGGUUUUUCAAUAAGUAUUUUUAUGUGUGGCAAACCAAAAAAGUUAAUUAAUGUUCAUUAUAAUAAAUAGGAUGAAGUGGUUGGCUGAGACGAAUCCUCAGAAGAUGAGGCAAAAGACGAAAGGAGGGCUACCCUGUAAGUUGUCCAACCUACAGUUAAUAUGAUUAAUUUUUAAUAUGUGCAGUUUGUAAUUCUCACCUUUAUUAUGGACUCAUUAAGUUUUAUGGGUUAAUGUUUCAUUUCAGACUGAAUUUGCUCAGGUGAUAUCAUCUACCAGCCACAUGUGUGCAUCACGGUUGUCAAUAUCUUCAGUCAAUAAAUCCGGACCAUACCUACUUAGUAUUACAUUAACCGUAUAGGCCUCUGAUGUUUAGUGUAUUAGAUAAACCGUGACAAUUUGAACUUUAUGUCUCGAUAAAUCGAGUACUGCAUUCGAUUAAACAAUCCUAAGUACAAAACAUCUACUGGGCAAUCUUAUACAUUCCUUUGCUGAUUAAAGUAACGGAUGUAGUUUUUGUUGGUUACAGGGUGGAUUAAUCUUUGUUUAAAACCUGUUUUAUUUUCUGUCAAGUUAUUGUAUGAGUAUAAAUAUAUAUGAAAUGUGUAUCUGUAUGUGUUGGUGUAUCAAUGUAUGCAUAUGAAUUUGAAUACUUCAUGAUCCUACAAACAUAUUUCACAUUACUCAUAAUCUAUUCUCAUGAGAUGCAAGCACACCUUUCAUAAAGGAACAACAUUUCAAAUGUGUUCACCUUUCAAUACCUUCCUGUAUUUGAAAAUGUCGGUCCAGCCUUUGUAGAUGGCAAAAAAAUUCACAUCUACUGAGACAUUGAAUAUGCUCAAUAAGUCUCAAAAUAUAUAAGUGGGUAUUAUUUUUAUGAUGUUUUUUUUUAAACCAAAGGGUGUUUUUUUUUUUCUUUUUUUUUUAA
rnacentral:lncRNA from 1 species